rnacentral:rRNA from 1 species
UACGUAGGGGGCAAGCGUUGUCCGGAAUCAUUGGGCGUAAAGCGCGUGUAGGCGGCUUCGUAAGUCCGUUGUGAAAGUCCAGGGCUCAACCCUGGAAUGCCGAUGGAUACUGCGGAGCUAGAGUCCGGAAGAGGCGAGUGGAAUUCCUGGUGUAGCGGUGAAAUGCUUAGAUAUGACAUAGAACACCAAUUGCGUAGGCAGCUUACUACACGAUCAUUGACGCUGAGGCACGAAAGCGUGGGGAGCAAACAGG